rnacentral:rRNA from 1 species
AGGCUGAAACUCGCCUACAUGAAGCUGGAGUUACUAGUAAUCGCAGAUCAGAAUGCUGCGGUGAAUGCGUUCCCGGGUCUUGUACACACCGCCCGUCCCACCACGGGAGUUGGAGACGCCCGAAGCCGAUUAUCUACCCUUUUGGAAGAAGUCGUCGAAGGUGGAAUCAAUAACUGGGGUGAAGUCGUAACAAGGUAGCCGUAUCGGAAGGUGCGGCUGGAUCACCUCCUUUCUAAGG